CGCACAUUGCGCCCUCUGGUAUUCCGGGGGGCAUGCCUGUUCGAGCGUCAUUACAACCCUCAAGCUCAGCUUGGUAUUGGGUGCUACCAUCUUGGUACACCUCAAAGUCAGUGGCGGUGCCAUCUGGCUUCUAGCGUAGUAAUACUUUUCGCUACGGAGUUCUGGUGUUUGCUUGCCAUCAACCUCUAUUUUACUGGUUGACCUCGGAUCAGGUAGGGAUACCCGCUGAACUUAA
rnacentral:misc_RNA from 1 species